GCUGAAUAUACCGGUUCUCGUUAGAUCACCGAAGUCAAGCAUCAUUGGGCGCGGUCAGUAUUUGGGUGGGUGACCACCUGGGAACACCGCGUGCAGU
rnacentral:rRNA from 1 species